UACGUAGGGUGCAAGCGUUGUCCGGAAUUAUUGGGCGUAAAGAGCUCGUAGGCGGUCUGUCGCGUCGGCUGUGAAAACCCGGAGCUCAACUCCGGAAUUGCCUUUAAGACUGCAUCGCUAGAAUUGUGGAGAGGUAAGUGGAAUUCCGAGUGUAGAGGUGAAAUUCGUAGAUAUUCGGAAGAACACCAGUGGCGAAGGCGACUUACUGGACACAUAUUGACGCUGAGGUGCGAAAGCGUGGGGAGCAAACAGG
rnacentral:rRNA from 1 species